UCCUGCCCUCCUCUCCUCUGGCCGCCGACGCUCCUCCCCUCCGGCCUCCCCGAUCCCCUCGCCAUCCUGCGCGCCGUCGUCGCCCACGGAUCCGAUGACCUCUCCGGGAUCUACAACAUCGACGGCUAGGGCGCAUCGCCGCUGCACAAGCCCGACCCGGCGUGCACCGCCAGCACCACGCGCGCGAUGGCUCUGGAUCUCGUUUUCUCUCAUCGCCGCCGCUCCUCUUCGUGCCCGUCUUGCUCAUCUCCUCUGCGUCGCCGCCGCCCGUCCUCCUCCUCUCCUCUGCGCCGCCCGUCUCUGUCGCCGUCUGGCCUAGAUGCGUUCGGAGUCCGUCGGCGCCGCACGCGGAGGAGACGCGGCGAGGAGGAGCGCGAGCCACCGGAGCAGUGGGUCGUCGCGCCGUCGACGGGAGGAAGCUGGGAUGCGAAGAUGGUCAUCCUCGUCGCCAGUGCCAUCAUCCUCGCACGGAAGAAUCGUCUCCCCGACGCGCCUCCUUUGAGGAGCUUCCACCUACCCACCGUGGCUGCUGGCGCGACCUGCUCCUCGGGUGAGCGGUUCCCCCUACGACCUCGAUCCCCUGUCUCUGCUUCUCCGCUGCGACAAUGUCCUCCUCAUCUACAUCGGCCGCUCGACCUGCCCUUCCACAAAAAAUGACUGGCACAUCGAGCCGAGAUGCUGACCCGACUGCCUCGGUGUUGAUUGCCGGCCGACGAACUGCAGUGUGCUACCGGCGUUGAGAUCCAGAAGGAGGCAGCGGAUGGGGAGAUGAGGAAUUGCAGAGAUUCAGAGCAAAUCGAUGCAUGUUUGCUAACAUAUGAGGAGAACCUUGCUUUGGAGAUGUUGACGUUUGACCACUACCACUGUCCAGGAGGUCUCUCGAGAUGACAGACCACACCAUAUCCAUGUCUGUUUAUGUGCACAUGAAAAAGGGUGGUGGCGACGAAGAGGAGCACGUGGGACCCCCUUCUCCGCCUGGUGAUAAGACCAGGGAUGGACUCAUUAGCGUCAACCAUGUGAAGAUGAUUAGAAAUUUGACUGGAGUAAAGAUUCUUCAUGGGUGCUUUGUGGCAUUACAAGAGCAAUGCUAUUGCCAUCACAUUCGGGAAUCGUUCCCGAAGAGUGAACUGACCAGAUGCAAGGUACAAUGAACUGAAAGAAGAAGGGCAUUCUCAUCAAAGGAGGACCAGGACGUCGAGUUAAGAUGGGUUGCCUCUGAUUCGCCUUGUUGCGGUUGGGAUGCCUCGCCUCCUUGACACCCUCCUUGAGACUCAACAUGAGGCAAGGUAAUUGCAGGAGUUGAUGAUAUGUAUCGUCCAGCACCGUUACUUGAGGCUUGAGUCUCAGUUUGAUCUUACAGUUCUACGGCUCAAAGGUUGAUGACUGCCAUGAGGCACUACCCAGUUAAAUCUUCGUCCAAGCUGACAACAAUCCUCUUGGUCUUAAAAAUUUUGUCGAGGCGGCAGGGAUCAAAGAAUAACAGAUCUGGGUCUUCGUCUUCCAAGAUUAGAAGGGGGAAACCAUCGCUCACUCUCCAUAUGCUUUAAAAGCAAAUCUCAAGUGCAUUGCCUAUAUAAAAAUAAUUUUGUGGUCAUCUAUCUCACAAACUAUUCACAUCAAGUUCAUAUGGAAUGGCACUCACGGAGGCAACUGAACCAAGCUAUCUAUUUGGAUGCUGCCUUGCUUCUGGCACGGAUAAUCGGUUGUUCUAUUACAUGUGCUAAAACUUGCCUUCAUACUGAUACAUCAUGCCGUUUGAUCUUUUAUCGGUUGACCAUAUCGUCGGGACCGGCACCCUCGUGCCAAGGCGCGUUGCCGAUCUAGUGGACAUUAUUCGGCGAUCUGGCAGAGGUGAGGCUUAUCAGCAAUGGUUACCUGUCAUGUCUGUGAUAUGCUUUCAAUAAAACUAAAUAUACCAAUAUCAAGUAGACCCGGCCUAUGCAGUGACACAAUAUUAAGAAGUAGUUGAUACAUUUAAGAUGCAUGCAACUAAAUUAUGAAGAAGAAGAAGGCAAUUCAAAGAAUGCCACCGACACCAACAACAUGCAGCAACAUUAUCCACCGUCCUUGAAAACACAUGAACUCUAGGAAAGUUUCUCCAAAAGCAAUGCCUCCAGAAGUGGCGACGUGCAAAGACCGUUGACGUGUUUGUGAUGACCCCUUGUAUCGUUAUAGAAGCUAUAGUACAUCUCGACUCCUAAUGUCUCUCUACUCCUAAUGUCUCAAUUGGUAGGAUUGAGUUCACGAUUUUUUUUCGUCCUGCCACUUUUGUCCGGUUUUUUCUUUCACAUGGUUUAUUUUCGUCACCUCUCCACCCCACGCAUGCACCUUUUUUUUCCGACGCGAAAGGAAAAUACAAUCCCCUCGCAGCCCCCAACCCUCGACUACAUGUCCCAGCUCUCCUCCCUGCCUCCGCGGGCCUCGGCCUCCCUCCUCCCUGCGCCGCCGCGGGUCUCGGCCUUCCUGUGCCGCCGCGAGUCUCGGCCUCCCUCCUCCCUGCGCCGCCACGUGUCUCGGCCUCCCUCCUACCUUAGUCCAAGGCAAAGAGAGGGCUGGCCUUGGCGCCUUGCCUCUUUGGUGGUCGUUGUGGCCCGAUCCGGCCAGGGGAGCCGCCGUAAAGCCUCCACGACAUCGGAGCAGAGCAGCCCGACAGAAGGCACCAGCAGCCGUUCGGUGUGUUCUCCGAGGUGCUGCAGUCGAAGGGGCGAGCAGGAGCUAUGGAUGCCAGCAAACAAGGUUGUGCAGACAGCAAUGCAUCAAUCAAAUCGUAUUGAGAACAUCACACAACAGCCUUUCUCAAGGACAUUAAGAAAAUAGUGGCACUUCAGGUUUUGAAGAUGUAAAAAAAUUCCUUGUAAAGGUAUUGGCUUCUCUUUUCCUAAAUAAAAGGACUACAAGCAUGGGACGCUCGAUUGAUGAGAAUUUGGCGAGGGAGAUCAUAAACCACCGCUCGCUGCAGCACAUCAAUUGUUGAAUUCGCUUGAAGGAGGGGAUGAUGAACAUGGGAACAAGGAGGAACUUUACCCACCUGUUAUAGACUAAGCACUAAAAGCAUGCUUGCAUUCACUUUAGCUUGUUCAUUCUGUUAUAGGGCAGUGUUUUCGUUAUGUGUAUGAUGCUUGCAGUUUAUUGAAAGAUCUGUUCCAAGGAUAAAUUCUGAUCUUUUGAAACUAUGUUUUUUUAGUGAUAACCUUUAUAAGUUGGACUGUUUAUGGGCGCUGGAAGUUUUGUAAUAACCGUUGUUGUACAUACGUUAUCAUCAUAAGAGAGAUAAUAUAUUUUUUUGAUCCUCACAAUUUUUUGCAGAUAGAGCUCAUUUGGCUGAAUUUGCUACUGAUUUGCCACAUUUUGAGGGCCUACAAUUGAAGAAUACAACACUUUUUGGAAAGGAUACUAGAGUAAUAAUAACUACUACAAGAGUGAUGUAUUUUCCUUUUAUUGGAGAUUUUCUGCAUCAUUUAUGGACGGCAACAUUUGAGACAGCAAUUUGAUGUGCUAACCAUCAACUGCAACUUCGAUAUGUCUGGUCUCUAAAAGUUACUAUUGACCAUCAUUGGUGCAUCCUAUAAGCAGGGGAAAAUAAAGCAUUACAUCCAGUACAUUGAAUCAUCAGACUGGUUAGGUUUAGUGGGUUUCUUGAGUAUAGUGGUGAUUAGUUGAUCAAUGUGGAGUACGUUUCCAAUGGAAAUCUUCAAGAACACCUUGAAGGUCUGAAUGCAAUUUUUCUUGAGUUCUCUGUGAGAUUAAAAAAUGCAACUGAUGUGGCCCAUGCAUUUGAGAUUAAAAACAUGGAGAAGAAUCAUAAAAGAUCUCGCUGAAAAUGCCCCCGGUCCGCACUUCGUGUGGACAGGCCAGCGCCCUUUACCUUCGAAGUCUCGAAAAAUGGUCUGGGUGAUGCGCGUGCCUCAAUGCUUGACGCCAUGUUCUGUAAGAGGCCAAGGAAAGAACACAUGCUGAAGUGGAAAGGAAGGAAAAAACCGCAACAGCGAUGUCAGGUGCUUCGUUGCUUCGCUCGCGCCGCUAGGAGAAUCUACAGGGGGGAGUACAUGUGUGGCAUUGAAAAUAACAGAGGCUGGGAGUAGGAAGCGCAGGGGGUUGCUGGGGAACAGGAGGGCCAACUUCCGGAGGAAACAUUAUGGUGAUGCGAGCCCUCUCGCCGGCAUCCUUGAUGUUGCUGGAUUACCCGCAUCGCUAGAAAGAAGAAGAAGAAAGAUGCCUCGCAAGUACAGUUGGAGCAAGAAAAACUACUGGAGUUCCUUUUUGAGAUGAAAUCUACUCGAGUUGUGUCAGCAUAGCGAGAUAGUUUUUUUUCCCUAUAUUGGUAGGGAAAAAUAUACCACAUUGUUUUUUGUGCAAAGUGAGGGCGGCUAGGAGGCACGACGGUCAGGGAGGAAAGAAGCGGAAGAGACAAUCAGUAUUUGUCAGAGAUACGGAAAACGGCCAAGUUGGGUUCGCUCUUCUUCUCCCCUUGCUCCCGUGCAGCUUUGUGGGCUGCACUAGGGUGCCAAAAAAUCUGUCGGCUUAGGCCCCCUCUCCUACUCCCCUUUCCCUCACCGCCGUCGGAGUGCGAAGCUGGGCAGAGCCCGGGCGGUGUGGGCGGUGGUGGGGAUGUAUUACGGUGUGGUUGCGGCGGAUUUGGCAAUUUCGGAUCUUGGCAGGGGGAGCGUCUUGGCUAUGUGAGCUCCGGCGUCGACGUGGGUCGGCAGCGGUGUGAGGACGCGCGUAUGCUCGAGGAGAUGCAACAAAGGUGUUGUGGCACGAAGGUGUUGCGUCUGUUUUGUUGGGUGGCCAGCGGCUCCUGGGCUGUGCCGGUGGUCCAGUGUGGCGGUUGUGCUUAAUUUGGCCUCGUCUGUGCGGUGAUGGCUCUUCAUCUUUGUUAGC